rnacentral:rRNA from 1 species
UCGCUACUACCGAUUGAAUGGUUUAGUGAGGUUAUCGGAUCGGGCACACGGAUCGCUUCGGCAGUCAUGUGUGGCCGAGAAGAGAAUCAAACUUGAUCAUUUAGAGGAAGUAA